GCCCCCGUAGCUCAGGUGGAUAGAGCGGGUCGCUUCUAACGACAAGGUCGCGGGUUCGAGUCCUGCCGGGGGCG
rnacentral:tRNA from 1 species